GUGUAAGAGAGGGUUAGCUCUGCCCUUGACAAGGACAGAAGAGAUCAGUUGAAGAAAUCUAAUACAUAUGGGUAUUGCGCUCUACUUCAGAGCAAUGUAAUAUUUUAG
rnacentral:ncRNA from 1 species